UCUGCUAAUGUUCUGCAAUCCACAAUAGCACUGAUCCAGGUCAGUCCACAGUGCUAAGAUCCAAACACCCAGCUGACGGAAGCUUCUCUUUAUAUCAGCUGUCGAUGAGAGGUGCUCUCAGUCAGAACCAAAGAAAUUCUAACCAUUUCUAGAUCUACUGCAGGUUGCCUCAGAGCGGGUGGGACAAGAAAGAGAACGUGGUGGAAUUAAGAAGAGUACUGUCAUCUAGAAGGAGGUGACAUCUAUAGAGGAGGAGCCACUGCAGUAGCUGACUGUCAGAGUUUAACCAUCCUGCCUUCUACAAUGAAGGAAUGGAAACGCCGGACUCUAACAGAUUUAUAUGGACAAGUUCACAACAACAACGUGGCGUCUCAUGCUCAGAAUGACUAAGGAUUUACAAUGAUGGGUGUGGAACAUUCUAUCAAAUAUAGGACUCUCUGAUCACAGGAGCCGCCCCUCACAUGCUAGCAGUACAUCUUUAACAGCGAGUGAGCAAUAAACAGCUCACUGUCAUCGCCUCCUAGUUCCGUGUCCCCUGAGGUCACACUGGAGUACGAAUUCAUCCAUGGUGAGAAAUUCUGCACUGCAUGGAAUCUGGAAUACGGCAUACAUCUUUCUGCAGGGGAAAUCAAAAGCACGAGUGGAAAGAACAGGAUGACCUACAAGCAAAAGGACUACCCUUGCUUUAAUUAAGAAGGAGCAGAAAGCAAUUUCUUCCUCAUUCUUAUUCAACCACAUUGAAAUGUUACCCCAUGCACUGUCAUUUUUAAACUCCUAACGGCACUGAGCUAACAUCUUUGAAAGAUUUAUUUUUGUUUUGAAAAUAAAAAUCCAUGCAGAAUGCAGAGGGAAUGAAUGUCUGCACGGGGACCGUGUAAAUCAAGAUUGUGUUGGCUGCAUUUGAUAGCUUGCCUUGAUGCCUCCUAACCCACCAAGCUUGGUUGCUAGGCAACCAGGACCGCUUCUCUGAAUAUAGUUAUUAACAGGUUUAGGUUGCACUGAAAAAAAAAAAGAAAAGAAAAAUAAAAAGAAAACAACAUGGAC